GAUCCUGGCUCAGGAUGAACGCUAGCUACAGGCUUAACACAUGCAAGUCGAGGGGCAGCAUGAACUUAGCUUGCUAAGUUUGAUGGCGACCGGCGCACGGGUGAGUAACACGUAUCCAACCUUCCGUUUACUCAGGGAUAGCCUUUCGAAAGAAAUAUUAAUACCUGAUAGUAUGGUGAGAUUGCAUGAUAACACCAUUAAAGAUUUAUUGGUAAACGAUGGGAUGCGUUCCGUUAGGUAGUAGGG
rnacentral:rRNA from 1 species